rnacentral:pre_miRNA from 1 species
AGUGGAAUUGCUGGGUAAUGUGGUAGUUCUGUUUUUCAAGGAACCGCCACACUGUUUUCCACAGCAGCUGUACCAUUUUGCAUUCCUACCAGCAGU